GGCCGAGGGGGCUUUCGCGGCUUCCAGGGUUGUCGUCCGCUUGUCUUGGGGCUGCUUCCGUACCGUACUUUCUGGAACAAGGCAGGCCGCCUCGCUGCGCUGGCGUUUUCACCCUGAGACUCAGCCAGCUCCCCGGGGUGGGGUCGCGGUGGAGACAGAGCUGGGCGAGGUAAGAAGAUACCACAGUGAUAUCUGAAAUUUGGAUAUUUAAUAAAACAUCAAGACCAUCAGAAGUGAUCCAUUGGACUCUGCCGGGUCCAGCAGCGACAUCCCCUUGAGCUCCUCCACGGAAGUGGAGGAGACGUGCCCGGGGCCUGGGUCUUCGCACUGCCGAUCGUCGUCAGGGUGUGGACCUCCGCUCUCCGCGCGUGUGCGACGUGGCGGCUGCUGUGCCCGCGGCUGCAGCCGCCGCCUCCCCGCUCAGCCUGGAGAGACGGUAGCGGCGGCCGCUCCGGAGACGCCCGAGAUCACCGUGGCUCCCAAGGCUCAGCCGCGGGAAGGGGCAACGGGAACCAACCGAGACCUUUCAGCCCGACGUCCCGGUCACCACUCGCUUCGCCCCUGCACACGCCCAC